CCCUGUCCCAAAUGGCACACUCCGGACUUGUGGUCCUCCUCAGAGUCCACACUUUGAUGACAUCACGUAGUCCAGACUUUAGGGACCCUUGAUGCGAGUCCACGUGGGUGCACCGGAGUCGUAUUUUGGGACAGACUCGAGCAUCACACCGGAAAUAGGUAGAGAAGUUGCCCGUCAGUGUGAACUCCUCCCUUCCGUCGUCUGAUUGGUCUGAUUGCCCUUUCGCAAGGACUUCUGGGUUGGCAAAGUGCGCGAAGCCUGCUGCAGUGCGGGCUUCGCUGAAGACCGCAUCAAGGGGGCAAAGGAGGCGCUGAUGAGCACACUUCAAAGCGUAAAAAUGACAGAUGGGACACCCUACGGACUCGUAGACUAAGCGAGAACGCGCAAUUUAAGGCCACGAGACCGAAAGUCCACAUGAAGUGCGCCAUUUGGGACAGGGCCUAUGAUGUCUAUGCCUAGCUACGUUAUGCCUUACGAAGAGGUGGUGCAGCUGAAUUAAUCAGUUCCAUACCAAACUAGCUAGUAGUGCAGACUUUCCGUUCCAGUUCAAGCUAGAACUUACGGAUAGCUGGUGCAAGCCUAUUCUUGAGUGGAGUGGCGGGAGUUACCAUGGAAACGAAGUGACAGGAACAAAGUGCGAAAAGUGUCUCUACGGUUUAACAUUUGUCCAUGCUGAUGGCCAUGCAGCAGAGUUCAAGCAGACCUGUCAGAAAACACUUGCAAGGUGCUAUGAACCAUAUGGCUAGUUACAGAAGCUCCAGUAUGGAUCCAGCCUCACUUGUGAAGACUUCAGAUGAUGCCUACACUCGCGAAGACUUCAGAUGAUGACAACUAAAGAUGGACAUACAAAACUGCCAAACGUUAUAUUGUAAUCACUGCCUCGAAGCAUAAGUUUGCAGAUUCGCAACCCACUUUAUAUUUUACAAUAAAUGGUAAUAUUUAAAUGGACAAUGUUUACUUUUUUCUUUAGUUAAACUUGUACUGAGAUAUUCACAUUUAUUUGUCCGCAAUACUCUUCCGAAUACAUAUAUUACAGACAGUGUAACAAUAUAAGGUGGGUUGAAAAUCUGUUAACCUUCUCUAUAAUAAUAAUUGUCUGUUUAACUGAGCAUGACUUGAAACACAUGACUUACAUUAUCUUAGAGCUAUUGCUACAUGAACAUUACUUUGUUCAUUAAUGAGAUAAAUGCUUACCCCUUGUUUCACAGACAAGACUUAAGCCUAGUCCUGGACCAAGACACGUGUUUGAGCUGUCUCAAGAUACAAACCACCGGUGAGGGCUCGUGACUGCUUUUCCGAGAGGCGCAUAUUUAUACUAUGUGUUCGAAGUGUCAUGUUAGUUGCUCGUGUUUUCAAAAUAUGUGUUUGUUGCGUUAUGUGAACCAUGUGCAUCACGUCUUUUGUCAAAAUAAGUGCCUGCUGCCCACGCGUCAAAACAAUUUAUGUUAAAAGAGACGCUCACGUUCAUAAAAUACAAGCAAGACACUCAAUUAACAGUAAACUCUGAUUAUGCAUGAGAUUAUGCGAGUAUCUGGCAAACGUGAGAGUCUCUUUUAUCAUAAACCAUUUAGACGCGUCUACUAGGGUUGUGACAAUUAAUCGGGCAAAUGCGCGUUUUCUCAAUGAAUGAAUUUGAAUGAAUUACGGUGAAAUACCGCCACAUUCAAAAGCCAGGGGGCGCUUUCGUGCAGAAACUCCAUUUGUGCCACAGAAGAAGUAUCAUUACAAACACUAUUCCAGGAAAUGUCUACAGGAAUAUUUAUAUCGCUGUUCUUCCGAUAGUUUCAGGUAUUUUCAUGAUAAUAGAGAAUAUUUUGAAUGAUUGUGUUUGACGAGUGUUGCUUUUUUAAAUACUCGUUAUAAACGAGUCAAACUCAUAGUGAUUUUAGAUUGAUAAAGACUUCCUACUGAUCACGGAGCCGUAGUACAUGCACAAGCUGUGCAUGAAACACUGAAUCGGAGCCUUGCGAUUCAGAAUCGAUUUUUAGACAGGUCUUUUCAAUGGGAACGCGAUGCAUCGAUGCACAUCCCUAGCGUCUACAGCAGGCACUUAUUUUGACAAGGCACAUGAUGCACACAGGUUCACUCAACGCGCCAACACAUAUUUUGAAAUUACGAACCACACACAAAACAGGCUACAUACAUGUUCAGACGAACUGCGCAUCAUGCGCACUCGAAAAAAGAAGUCACCGGCCGCCACUGCACACUACAAAACAUCUUUUUCUAAGGCAUGUUUAUUAAAGAUGCUUAAACAUCUUAAUUGAAAGGGGCGGUGAAUUUAUCGAUUUUAUUGUUUUAUACUGUUGUCUGAUGUCUACUUAUGAUGUUCGCGUGGUUUUUACAUUCAAAAACAUCAAAAGCAAUAAGUAAUAGGCUAUUUUGUAACAUGGAUUAGUGGCUGUCUGGAGAAAUGGUUCGUUUGAAGGGACGGGCCGCACUGAAGACCUGGACGUAAACGCCCACUGCUAUGAUUGGACAGCUUCAUUCCCCGUCAUUACAUGUGGGCAAAUGUUUUAAAAACAUUAAUGUGUAAAAAUAGCAGCCGAACACAUAUAUGUUUGAGCCACAAAAGAUUCUGGGUGCUAAAGAUGAUACACAUAAAUGACAAACAAAAAUUUCAACUCGACGUGACUAAAUUACCGUAUACAACACAGUAAGCGCGCAUCAGAUUAUAAACUGCGGCUGAUACGCUCUUAUCAAUAACUUUGUAUAUUUCUAUUGUGCUUGUGAGGUUGCUCUUAGAUACACGUAAUGUUACAUACCAAAGUUAUAUGAUAAAAAAGCUUUGUUGAGUGUUGGACCUUUUAAACGCAACUCACCUAAAUUACUGUAUACAACACAGUAAGCGGGCAUCAGAAUCUAAACUGCGGCUGAUAAAUCCUUCUUUGUCAAUAACACUGUAUAUUUCUACCGUUAAAUUACAGUCGUGUUGUUAAGUGGUGUAUCUUUAUUAAUCGUUUAAUGAUUAAAACAGUCAAACAUACGUGUUUAGACACGGAUGUUACAACAGACAUAUCAAGCGAUCUCUUCUAACAAAGCAAUAGUGAAACGCAGUAACUUAAAUAAACUUACUGUGUACUGCUGUGUCAUUUUUGUCAGAUCCAAUAUUAGUGGUGUUUUUAAUCACAGUCUCUCUGCAAAUCCAGCAUCGACUUCUUUACAAAUGAAUCCGUGUACACAAAGUAAACACUCCCCAAUCGAGCUGGAACUUCUUCAAAAGCAAACUUUAUCCACGCAUUACUAAUGUUGAGACUCCGUUAUCCAGCGUUUGUGUUCUUCCCAUAGACCGUUCUUCCACAACCGAAAAUGCGUUUCCAUGGUUACUUCAGAUCACCGCGUCAAAAUAAAAGUCUCUCAGAAAAAAUGUAUUUAAAAGUCAUUUUGGUUACAUUUGGCAAUCUUUAAAUACAUGUUUACUUAUUGUUGAGACACACGUGUGUCACGCGAAGCUGUGGGCGGGGCUACAAAAGUGGUCCUUGUAUUUGGCUAUGGGGAGGUGCUUCAAUUCUACUUUGACGUCAUACUUUUCCGAAUUCCACACUGGCUUGUUUUACUGGCUUGGUGCCAAAAACUGCUAUAUUUCAGUAGCACGGACGUUUUCAGUUCUGAAACUUGCAGGAUGUUCAUUUAAGUAUGAUGACCUCUUAUAUAACAAAUUAUCAAGUUAAAAUUGAGUAUUUGAUUCACCGCUCCUUUAAGUAAGGCCUAGGCCUGUAUGUUGCUUAAUGAAUUAAGGCAGUUGAAUUAAAAUAGUAAAUUUGGUAUACCUUUUGGGGUGGUUUCCCGAACAGGAAAUAGCUUAAACCAGGUUUAGGCCUCAGUUUAAUUAGGAAACUAGUUUUAACAAACAUCCCUUUAUUUAAAACAUGACUUCUGUGCAUUUUCAGGCAAAACAAAGGGCACUGAUGUAUUUCAAGAUGUCAUUGCAAGAGGUUUUCAGUUUGGAUAGCUUUUACAUUUAUUUUAGUCAAGGACUAGUCUAAUCCCUAUCUGGGAAACCGCCCCUUUAUUAUUAAAACUUAAAAUGUAAGGGUAAGCAGAUUAGCCAAGAUAAUAAAUGCAAUGCUUUAAAUUACAGUUUGCUUACCUAUAGUAUAAAAUAUAAUUAAUUAGGUGUAUACCGAAUAUUAUUUUGUCAUAUCAUUAUCUUAAUUUAUUAAGCUACGUUAAGUGUCUUGUUGAUUAACACAUCUUAUUAUUGGCAAAUCUGCUUACUGUUACAUGAUUUAUUAAUAAAUUAAUGUUUUAAUUCAGCUGUUCUGUAUUAAGCAAUGUUAAGAAAGUUAGUCCCAGGAAGUCCUGGGUAUGGUUGUGUUCUUACUGAUAGUUUGAGGAUCUUUUCAUUUGUUAAAUAUACGUAAAAUCCUCAUAAAGGGUGAUCAACAAUUUCUGAAAUAAAAUAAUAAUGACCAAUGAGAGGUUUCUGUCCGACAGUGAUGAUAUAUUGUUUGACAAUUAUAUCAUUAUGAAGACUUAUUAAAUAUAAAUACUAUCCAAGUAAUACAUUUCUUUUGCAUUUAGUUUUUUUUUUGCAUGGUUUUAAUUGUUUGUUCAUAAUAUUUAUAAUUAUAUCACUGCUAUCAAAAGAUGUUUUGUCAUAUUAUGUUGCAUUAAAUUAAAUCCUUGUUGUAGUUCUUGGACAUUUGAUUACUUUUAUAUUUCUUGUCUAGUGAUU